CCCCAUAAGACCACUGAUGUUAAGCAAUGUCUUGCCUGGUCAGUACCAAGGUGGGUGACUACUUGGGAAUACCAGGUGCUGUAAU